AUUGAACGCUGGCGGCAUGCUUUACACAUGCAAGUCGAACGGCAGCGCGGGCUUCGGCCUGGCGGCGAGUGGCGAACGGGUGAGUAAUGCAUCGGAACGUGCCCAGCAGUGGGGGCUAGCCCGGCGAAAGCCGGAUUAAUACCGCAUACGACCUGAGGGUGAAAGCGGGGGACCGAAAGGCCUCGCGCUAUUUGAGCGGCCGAUGUCGGAUUAGCUAGUUGGUGGGGUAAAGGCUUACCAAGGCGACGAUCCGUAGCUGGUCUGAGAGGACGACCAGCCACACUGGGACUGAGACACGGCCCAGACUCCUACGGGAGGCAGCAGUGGGGAAUUUUGGACAAUGGGGGCAACCCUGAUCCAGCCAUGCCGCGUGCGGGAAGAAGGCCUUCGGGUUGUAAACCGCUUUUGUUCGGGAAGAAAUCCUCUGGGCUAAUACCCCGGGGGGAUGACGGUACCGGAAGAAUAAGCACCGGCUAACUACGUG
rnacentral:rRNA from 1 species